AACACAUGCAAGUCGAGGGGCAGCAUGGUCUUAGCUUGCUAAGGCUGAUGGCGACCGGCGCACGGGUGAGUAACACGUAUCCAACCUGCCGUCUACUCUUGGCCAGCCUUCUGAAAGGAAGAUUAAUCCAGGAUGGCAUCAUGAGUUCACAUGUCCGCAUGAUUAAAGGUAUUUUCCGGUAGACGAUGGGGAUGCGUUCCAUUAGAUAGUAGGCGGGGUAACGGCCCACCUAGUCAACGAUGGAUAGGGGUUCUGAGAGGAAGGUCCCCCACAUUGGAACUGAGACACGGUCCAAACUCCUACGGGAGGCAGCAGUGAGGAAUAUUGGUCAAUGGGCGAUGGCCUGAACCAGCCAAGUAGCGUGAAGGAUGACUGCCCUAUGGGUUGUAAACUUCUUUUAUAAAGGAAUAAAGUCGGGUAUGCAUACCCGUUUGCAUGUACUUUAUGAAUAAGGAUCGGCUAACUCCGUGCCAGCAGCCGCGGUAAUACGGAGGAUCCGAGCGUUAUCCGGAUUUAUUGGGUUUAAAGGGAGCGUAGAUGGAUGUUUAAGUCAGUUGUGAAAGUUUGCGGCUCAACCGUAAAAUUGCAGUUGAUACUGGAUGUCUUGAGUGCAGUUGAGGCAGGCGGAAUUCGUGGUGUAGCGGUGAAAUGCUUAGAUAUCACGAAGAACUCCGAUUGCGAAGGCAGCCUGCUAAGCUGCAACU
rnacentral:rRNA from 1 species